rnacentral:rRNA from 1 species
CGCUGGCGGCAGGCCUCAUACAUGCAAGUCGAACGAGAAAGUAUCUUCGGAUACGAGUACAGUGGCGGACGGGUGAGUAAUACAUAGGAAUCUACCCAAUGGAGGGGGAUAGCUCGAGGAAACUCGAAUUAAUACCGCAUAAUCUCCACGGAGUAAAGAGGGCUUCGGCUCUCGCCAUCGGAUGAGCCUAUGCAGGAUUAGCUUGUUGGUGAGGUAAAGGCUUACCAAGGCGACGAUCCUUAGCUGGUUUGAGAGGAUGACCAGCCACAUCGGGACUGAGACACGGCCCGGACUUCUACGGAAGGCAGCAGUAGGGAAUAUUGGACAAUGAGCGAAAGCUUGAUCCAGCCAUGCCGCGUGUGCGAUGACGGCCCUCGGGUUGUAAAGCACUUUAGGUAACGAGGAAAAGUUAGGUGUUAAUACCAUCUAACCUUGACGUUAAUUACAGAAUAAGCACCGGCUAAAUCCGUGCCAGCAGCCGCGGUAAUACGGAUGGUGCAAGCGUUAAUCGGAAUUACUGGGCGUAAAGCGCGCG